UUAGUAACUGAAUAUUUUGGAAUAAUUAUUAAUUUUACUCUAUUAUUGCAUGAUUUGUGUUUAAUUUUUUCCAUUUAUUUUGAUUGUUAGUCUAGAGUUUUUUUUGAAUUUAUUGUUUUGUUGUAUUGGCAUAAUUAUUGAAUACUUUUUUGAAUUGUAAUUGUUAAUGUUGAAUUUACCUUAGUAUUAGUAAUUGAAUAUUUUGGAAUAAUUAUUAAUUUUACUCUAUUAUUACAUGAUUUAUGUUUAAUUUUUUCCAUUAAUUUUAAUUGUUAGUCUAGAGUUUUUAUUUAUUUAUUGAAUAAAUUUUAUUGUUGUAUUGGCAUAAUUAUUGAAUAAUUUGUUGAAUUGUAAUUCUUAAUGUUGAAUUUACCUUAGGAUUAGUAAUUGAAUAUGUUGGAAUAAUUAGUAUAGAUUGGGUCAAGUGGUUGUGACUAUUGUUAAUAUGUGCAGGUUUGUGGAUUUGGGUAGUAUCCAGUAUAGGGGAGGUGUUGUCGAUUUUUUUUUUUACAUUUGAAUUUAAUUAUAUAAUUAUUUGUAUAAAAUUGUGUAGAUGCGUAGAAUGAAAACCAAAGCUGGUCGCUCACGUAUGGUCGCAGCUAGUUCGUCUAGCAGCGAUGAUGAUAUUUCCUUAGGUGCCUCUCAAGAAAAGGCACCUACACUACUUGCGCCAUCAAUCAAUGUUGCCUCUUCCAGCGCUAGUUCACAACGCAGAGGCGGCGUGCCUUUGAAGUGGAAUCAAUUUACCCACAAGUACGAGGCAUAAUUACAACAUAAUUUAUGAAGUAAUCACUAUUGAAUUUAUUUCAUUUAUUUUCAGGUUCACAAACAUUGAGGCCACCCGAGUAAUAUCAUCGGCGUUUAAAUCGUCGAUGGAGAUUCUAUUGUUUCAAUGGAGUCAGAUAUUCAAGCAUCCUGAAUGGAUGCCUCAAAUCAAUGCAUGGUUUGACAGAUUUGAGGACAAAUUCUACUAGGACAGUGAGCAUAACACUGUUGUGAGGAGGGUGUGGGAAAAUCACGCGGCAACUAGUAUGAAGUACAAAAAAGGGCAAAAAAAACUGCGAGAGAUAGGGGUUUCCAAGGUUGGAAUAAUGUUGCGGUUUGGAGGGAUUUCAAACCGAUAUACAUCCUAGAAGAUAUAUGGCCGUCCUAUCUUGAGCACGUGAUGUUUGAGCGGUUCACACGACGCUCACAGUCCGGUGCUGGCAACCGGAAUCGGCCAAUUCAUGGCUCGGUGACAACGCACACUGACGGCUCCGUUUCGUUUGCUGCACAUGCGAAACAGAUGGCUACGUCUCUUGGACGUGAGCCGAGCUCGAUGGAGUUUGUGGAGACGGACGUGCAGAGUCAAGACCGCUAAAAGGGGGCACAACAGUUCGUUGACAAUCGUGCUCAACAUUUCGUGGAGACCUAUAAUAAUCGGUUGAGGGAGAGAUACGGGGACGAUACUUUGACCCAUCCGGAAUUCGAUCCGGAUUUGUGGAUGGAGGUUGGAUCGUCAGGUGGACCCGAUAAAAAUCAAGUUUAUGGGCUCUCCAAUACUACGACCGAUAACUUGCAGUCGGCCCGUAGUGUUUCAACCGUUAGGAGUUCCCAAUCUAAGGAGUUCGUGGCCUUGCAGCAACACGCGACUCAGCUCACCGAAAAAUACGACCACCUAUCAAUGGAGUACGCACAACUCAAAGUGUCUUAAGCACGAAAAAGAGUGGAGUCUGAACAACAAAACGCAUCUUAUGAAGAGCUUCGCGAAAUGGUCAUGAACAUGGCAACACAGAGUGGAACAUGUGCGCCUAAUCAUUUUUGGCCGUAUAACCACCAGCCUCCUCCAGCUCCACUUUUAUAUUAAUUUGUGAUAAACAUUAUUUACCUUUAAAAUUUCAUUUAAUAUUUUUUUUAAACACAUUCAGUUUGUAAUGAAUAUUAUUUAACUUUGAUUUUAUGUUUUUGAUGUUUAAUAUAAAUUUUAUUUGCAUAA